UUGGAGUCACCUCGGUCAAGCAAGCUUGGGAUGCUCUUUCUCAUUACUUUGCAUCCCUUGCUCCUCAUAUCAUGACUAUGAAAUAAUAGCUUCAUCAUAUUAAGAAGGGAUCAUUCUCUAUGCAAGAUUAUCUCCAAUAAUUUAAAGUUCUUGCCGACAAGUUAGCUACGUGUGAAUCGUCAGUAAAUGAUGAUGAUUUGCUUAUCUGCAUUCUAGAUAGA
rnacentral:lncRNA from 1 species